rnacentral:tRNA from 1 species
GGGGCGGUAGCUCAGUCGGUUAGAGCCGUGGACUCAUAAUCCAUUGGUGUUCUCGAAGUGCCCGUACACA